AGAGUUUGAUCAUGGCUCAGAACGAACGCUGGCGGCGUGGAUAAGACAUGCAAGUCGAACGGGGAUUAAACGGUAGCAAUAUUGUUUAAUCUUAGUGGCGAAAGGGUGCGUAACACGUGGGCAAUUUGCCAUAAAGUUCGGGAUAACUUCGAGAAAUCGAAGCUAAUACCGGAUGUGAUUACCGGAAGGCAUCUUCCGGCGAUUAAAGGUGGGGACCUUCGGGCCUGCCGCUUUUUGAUAAGCCCGCGGCCUAUCAGCUUGUUGGUGAGGUAACGGCUCACCAAGGCAACGACGGGUAGCCGGUCUGAGAGGACGAUCGGCCACACUGGAACUGAGACACGGUCCAGACACCUACGGGUGGCAGCAGUCGAGAAUCAUUCACAAUGGGGGAAACCCUGAUGGUGCGACGCCGCGUGGGGGAUGAAGGGCUUCGGUCCGUAAACCCCUGUCAUCUGUGAGCAACUGUUUUCGGUUAAUAUCCGGAAGCUUGAUAGUAGCAGAAGAGGAAGGGACGGCUAACUCCGUGCCAGCAGCCGCGGUAAUACGGAGGUCCCAAGCGUUGUUCGGAUUCACUGGGCGUAAAGGGUGCGUAGGCGGUACAGUAAGUUUGAUGUGAAAGCUCCAGGCUCAACCUGGAAAUUGCAUUGGAUACUACUGAACUAGAGGAUCGGAGAGGAGACUGGAAUUCUUGGUGUAGCAGUGAAAUGCGUAGAUAUCAAGAGGAACACCAGUGGCGAAGGCGAGUCUCUGGACGAUUCCUGACGCUGAGGCACGAAGGCCAGGGGAGCAAACAGGAUUAGAUACCCUAGUAGUCC
rnacentral:rRNA from 1 species